rnacentral:rRNA from 1 species
CCUACGGGUGGCAGCAGUGGGGAAUAUUGGUCAAUGGGCGCAAGCCUGACCCAGCAACGCCGCGUGAAGGAAGAAGGCCCUCGGGUUGUAAACUUCCUUUAUCAGGGACGAAGCAAGUGACGGUACCUGAUGAAUAAGCCACGGCUAACUACGUGCCAGCAGCGGCGGUAAUACGUAGGUGGCAAGCGUUAUCCGGAUUUACUGGGUGUAAAGGGUGUGUAGGCGGGAAAGCAAGUCAGAUGUGAAAUCCAUGGGCUCAACCUGUUGCCUGCAUUUGAAACUGUUUUUCUUGAGUACUGGAGAGGCAGACGGAAUUCGUAGUGUAGCGGUGAAAUGCGUAGAUAUUAGGAAGAACACCAGUGGCGAAGGCGGUCCGCUGGACAGCAACUGACGCUGAGGCGCGAAAGCGUGGGGAACAAACAGGAUUAGAUACCCUGGUAGUC